rnacentral:rRNA from 1 species
AAUUCCAGUUUAUCCUGCUGGAGACUGCUGCUAUCAAGAUUCGGAUAAGCCAUGCAAGUCACUCGCAAGAGAGCGAACUGCCGAGUAACGCGUAGCUAACCUGCACUAAAGCUCGGAAUACCUUCGGGAAACUGAGGAUAAUGCCGAAUAGGUGAUGAUUUCUGGAAUGAUUCAUCAUUGAAACGCAAGGCUUUAGAAUGGGGCUGCGUCCUAUCAGGUUGUUGUUGAGGUAAUGGCUCAACAAGCCUAUGACGGGUAGGGGCCUUGAGAGAGGGUGCCCCCGGAAGAACUCUGAGACACUAGUUCUAGCCCUACGGGGUGCAGCAGGCACGAAAAUUCUGCAAUGCACGCAAGUGUGACAGAGGAAUCUUGAGUGUUUCUCUUUCCGAGAAACUUUUGCUAUGUGUAAAAAGCAUAGCGAAUAAGGGCUGGGCAAGACUGGUGCCAGCCGCCGCGGUAAUCCCAGCGGCCCUAGUGGGAGUCACUUUUAUUGGGUCUAAAACAUUCGUAGCCUGCUUUUUAAGUUUCUUGUUAAAUCAUUGCUCUUCAGGCAAUGGCUGCAAGAAAUACUGGAAAGCUAGGGACUGGGAGGCGUGAUGAGUACAUUUAAGGUAGCGGUAAAAUGUUUUAAUCUUAGAUGGACUAACAAAUAGCGAAGGCACGUCACGAGAACAGAUCCGACGGUGAGGAAUGAAGGCCAGGGGCGCAAAAUGGAUUAGAUACCCAUGUAGUCCUGGCUGUAAACACUGCUAACUAAACAUUGUGAUCUCUUCGGGAGAUUGCAGUGCUAGAGCGAAGGCGAGAGUUAGCUACCUGGGGAGUAUAGUCGCAAGACCGAAACUUAAAGGAAUUGGCGGGGGAGCACUACAACGGGUGACGCGUGCGGUUCAAUUAGAUUCUACCCCGUGAACCUCACCAGGAGCGACAGCAGAAUGAAGGUCAGUCUGAAGGGCUUACCUGACACGCUGAGAGGGGUUGCAUGGCCGACGUCAGCCUGUGUCGUGAGAUGAUCUGUUAAAUCAGGUAACAGGCGAGACCUGCGUGUGUUGUUGCUACUCGAAGAGAGAGCACACUACACAGACUGCAAGAGCAAUCUUGAGGAAGGUGCAGGCAACGUUAGGUGAGUACGGCCCGAAUCCCCUGGGCGACACGCGCGCGGCAAUGGUAACAACAAUGAGUUGCAAUGCCGAAAGGCAAAGCUAAUCCCAAAAAUGUUAUCUUAGUCUGAAUUGAGGGUUGCAACCCACCCUCAUGACAAUGGAAUCCGUAGUAAUCGGAUGUUAGCAGCGUCCGGUGAAUAAUGUCCCUGCUCCUUGCACACACCGCCCAUCAAACCAUCCGAGUUAUGUUAAGAUGAAGUCGAGAGAAAGAAUCUUAGCAUAGCAAGGAAGGUUAAGUUGUCACAAGGUAUCCGUAGGGGAACCUGCGGAUGGAUCACCUCCU